rnacentral:misc_RNA from 1 species
CUGUCCAGUCUUUUGGAUAGAUCAUUAAAUAUGUUGCGUGAUUCCCAAAUUAAUGAUGGAAAUGGCGAAUCUAGUAGUUCAGCUUUAUUCCCAGACCAUAAUAAUGGGAUAAAUAUUUCCCAUUCAAAGGGGAAAGAAGUAGUUGGAAGCAGUUCUUUGAAGAAUAAGUUACCCCAUUGGCUUAGGGAAGCUGUAAGUGCUCCUGCUAAACUGCCAGAAGCGGACCUGCCACCCACUGUAUCAGCUAUAGCUCAAUCAGUACGUGUGUUAUAUGGAGAAAAUAAGCCAACAAUUCCUCCUUUUGUUAUGCCAGGUCCGCCUCCAUCCCAACCAAAGGAUCCAAGACGGACUCUGAAGAAGAAAAAGAAGCGGAGAUCACGUAUGCUCAGGCAGUUCCCGCAGGAUAUUGCAGGAAGCAUGCAUAAUUUUAAAAGCAGUGUUCAGGACAGUGGUGUUGCUUCAUCCUCUGGGCAUCUGGUCCCUACAUUCCAACCACCUCCACUCUUGGCUCCUGGAACUUCAGGACUUGAAUGGAGUGAAUCUGACCCAAAUUCUCGUUUUCCUAAUUUAAACAUGCUACACUCACUAACAUCUUAUUUAAAUCAACCAAAGAAAACGAGCAUGGGCAUAUCCCCCUCUCCUGAAGUGCUUCGAUUGGUAGCAUCUUGUGUAGCUCCAGGUCCGCAUUUGUCAUCUAGUUCAGGCUUGACAAGUUCUAGCUUGCUUGAGAGCAAGCUGCCCUUGCCAAAAUCUGUCAACCAUGUAGAAUUUCUGGAUUCACAAGGUUAUGUGGAGAAAAAUAAGGAUAUGCAGCGCUUGCCUCCUAAUGCACAAGUCAUGCUCCCAGAAAACAAGCGACGCCAACCUGAUAGUUGUGAUUCUAGCAAGACUCGAUCAGAGCCUUCUGAGACUGAGCAGCCUGAUGUAGAGGAGAUAUCGUCUGAAGGAACUGUAUCGGAUCACCCUGUGAGUGAGCAAGAACAAUAGCUAUAGUACAAAAUGGAAUAUGGGACAUUAUUAUUCUUUCAGGCUACUGGAGUUCCAGGCUUUUCAGUUAUGCGCUCGAAUUUUGUAGGCAUCAUGUAAUGAGUGACAACUAGCGUACAUAGGAUCA